rnacentral:rRNA from 1 species
UACGAAGGGGGCUAGCGUUGCUCGGAAUCACUGGGCGUAAAGCGCACGUAGGCGGCUUUCUAAGUCAGGGGUGAAAUCCUGGAGCUCAACUCCAGAACUGCCUUUGAUACUGGGGAGCUCGAGUCCGGAAGAGGUGAGUGGAAUUCCUGGUGUAGCGGUGAAAUGCGCAGAUAUCUGGAGGAAUACCGGUGGCGAAGGCGGCGUUCUGGACCAUUACUGACACUGAAUCGCGAAAGCUAGGGGAGCAAACGGG